GGCUGCAUUUUGAGUUGCUGAAGUACCACUAAACGCUCUGAAGCCUCAUUGUUGGUAUUAUUCUUGGAACAAUGUGUCUCAGAGUGUUAUGGGCCUUUGGCACCCACAUGAUCUUCCUGA
rnacentral:precursor_RNA from 12 species